rnacentral:tRNA from 1 species
UAAAAGGUAAGCUAAUAAAGCUAUUGGGUUCAUGCCCCGUUAAUAAAAAUUUUAAUUUUUUUCUUUUAA